GGUGCUAUAGCUCAGUGGUAGAGCUUUCGGCUGCAGUUCUCUUAUGAAGAGGAUGUUGUUUCCGAAGGGUCCAUGGAUCGAGUCCGUGUGGCACCU
rfam:Talaromyces islandicus isolate WF-38-12 genome assembly, contig: WF-38-12_scaffold00003